rnacentral:misc_RNA from 1 species
UUUCCGUAGGUGAACCUGCGGAAGAUCAUUACCGAGUGAGGGCCCUCUGGGUCCAACCUCCCACCCGUGUUUAUCGUACCUUGUUGCUUCGGCGGGCCCGCCUCACGGCCGCCGGGGGGCACCCGCCCCCGGGCCCGCGCCCGCCGAAGACACCAUUGAACGCUGUCUGAAGAUUGCAGUCUGAGCAUCUUAGCUAAAUCAGUUAAAACUUUCAACAACGGAUCUCUUGGUUCCG